rnacentral:rRNA from 1 species
CAUGCCUUACACAUGCAAGUCGAACGGUGAAGGUGGAGCUUGCUCCGCCGGAUCAGUGGCGAACGGGUGAGUAACACGUGGGCAACCUGCCCCUAACUUUGGGAUAACUACUCGAAAGAGUAGCUAAUACCGGAUAAGCCCGAGAGGGGAAAGAUUUAUCGCCGAAGGAUUGGCCCGCGUCCGAUUAGCUAGUUGGUGAGGUAACGGCUCACCAAGGCGACGAUCGGUAGCUGGUCUGAGAGGAUGAUCAGCCACACUGGGACCGAGACACGGCCCAGACUCCUACGGGAGGCAGCAGUGGGGAAUAUUGGACAAUGGGCGCAAGCCUGAUCCAGCCAUGCCGCGUGAGUGAUGAAGGCCCUAGGGUUGUAAAGCUCUUUCGCCAGGGACGAUAAUGACGGUACCUGGAUAAGAAGCCCCGGCUAGCUUCGUGCCAGCCGCCGCCGUAA